rnacentral:lncRNA from 1 species
UGGAGCUGGUGUUCGAGUUGGUGGUGGUGGAAGAGGAGCCAGAGGGUUGAUACGUGUCCGUAUCCCUGCGCCAGGCCCGCCUAGGAAUGGGCCGUUGUGCUCCCUGGUCCAGGAUGGUGGCUUCUGAGGGAGGAUGCUCCACAAGGCACUUCAGAAGACUUGCAAAGAUAGUGUGGUCGAGGCUUCUUGAGGAGGUGGGACAGUGUUUCCCCGCGUUGGACCCAGAGGGUGCCAGGCGAUGGGGAGAUUGGGGGUGACCUGGACUCCAGACGUGGCGUAUAAAGUCUCUCCGAGCCUGGGGAUUUUGAGCCGCUGUAGCGCAAGGACUAUGGUUAGCCCUGCUAGAUAGCCUGCUUCUUCACGCCUGGCCGGCAGCGCAGAUCCGAAGCUCAAAAAUCCUUUGAGCGACGCUUGGAUUCACAGGUCUAUUCCCAGAGCACUUGGUGAGCGGGCAUUUUUAGCCCUGCUCAGCACGUCCCAGACCGCACCGGCCUGCCCUUCUGCACAGAACUGGUCUGAUUUCUUAACGUUCCGGUCUCACAUGCCCUUGUUUCUCCCGAGCUAUAGAAAACCUGGUGCACAACAGUAGGUAUCGAAUAAAUGCGUCGUAU